UACGUAGGGGGCUAGCGUUGUCCGGAAUCAUUGGGCGUAAAGAGCGUGUAGGCGGCCCGGUAAGUCCGCUGUAAAAGUCAAAGGCUCAACCUUUGAAUGUCAGUGGAUACUGCCGGGCUAGAGUCCGGAAGAGGCGAGUGGAACUCCUGGUGUAGCGGUGAAAUGCGCAGAUAUCAGGAAGAACACCAAUGGCGAAAGCAGCUCUCUGGGACGGUACUGACGCUGAGACGCGAAAGCGUGGGGAGCGAACAGG
rnacentral:rRNA from 1 species